AGAUUGAACGCUGGCGGCAGGCCUAACACAUGCAAGUCGAGCGGUAGAGAGGUGCUUGCAUCUCUUGAGAGCGGCGGACGGGUGAGUAAUGCCUAGGAAUCUGCCUGGUGGUGGGGGAUAACGUUCGGAAACGGACGCUAAUACCGCAUACGUCCUACGGGAGAAAGCGGGGGACCUUCGGGCCUCGCGCCAUUAGAC
rnacentral:rRNA from 1 species